rnacentral:rRNA from 2 species
CGCGACGCUGGCGGCGUGCCUAUACAUGCAAGUCGAACGAACUCUGGUAUUGAUUGGUGCUUGCAUCAUGAUUUACAUUUGAGUGAGUGGCGAACUGGUGAGUAACACGUGGGAAACCUGCCCAAAAGCGGGGGAUAACACCUGGAAACAGAUGCUAAUACCGCAUAACAACUUGGACCGCAUGGUCCGAGUUUGAAAGAUGGCUUCGGCUAUCACUUUUGGAUGGUCCCGCGGCGUAUUAGCUAGAUGGUGGGGUAACGGCUCACCAUGGCAAUGAUACGUAGCCGACCUGAGAGGGUAAUCGGCCACAUUGGGACUGAGACACGGCCCAAACUCCUACGGGAGGCAGCAGUAGGGAAUCUUCCACAAUGGACGAAAGUCUGAUGGAGCAACGCCGCGUGAGUGAAGAAGGGUUUCGGCUCGUAAAACUCUGUUGUUAAAGAAGAACAUAUCUGAGAGUAACUGUUCAGGUAUUGACGGUAUUUAACCAGAAAGCCACGGCUAACUACGUGCCAGCAGCCGCGGUAAUACGUAGGUGGCAAGCGUUGUCCGGAUUUAUUGGGCGUAAAGCGAGCGCAGGCGGUUUUUUAAGUCUGAUGUGAAAGCCUUCGGCUCAACCGAAGAAGUGCAUCGGAAACUGGGAAACUUGAGUGCAGAAGAGGACAGUGGAACUCCAUGUGUAGCGGUGAAAUGCGUAGAUAUAUGGAAGAACACCAGUGGCGAAGGCGGCUGUCUGGUCUGUAACUGACGCUGAGGCUCGAAAGUAUGGGUAGCAAACAGGAUUAGAUACCCUGGUAGUCCAUACCGUAAACGAUGAAUGCUAAGUGUUGGAGGGUUUCCGCCCUUCAGUGCUGCAGCUAACGCAUUAAGCAUUCCGCCUGGGGAGUACGGCCGCAAGGCUGAAACUCAAAGGAAUUGACGGGGGCCCGCACAAGCGGUGGAGCAUGUGGUUUAAUUCGAAGCUACGCGAAGAACCUUACCAGGUCUUGACAUACUAUGCAAAUCUAAGAGAUUAGACGUUCCCUUCGGGGACAUGGAUACAGGUGGUGCAUGGUUGUCGUCAGCUCGUGUCGUGAGAUGUUGGGUUAAGUCCCGCAACGAGCGCAACCCUUAUUAUCAGUUGCCAGCAUUAAGUUGGGCACUCUGGUGAGACUGCCGGUGACAAACCGGAGGAAGGUGGGGAUGACGUCAAAUCAUCAUGCCCCUUAUGACCUGGGCUACACACGUGCUACAAUGGAUGGUACAACGAGUUGCGAACUCGCGAAGAGUAAGCUAAUCUCUUAAAGCCAUUCUCAGUUCGGAUUGUAGGCUGCAACUCGCCUACAUGAAGUCGGAAUCGCUAGUAAUCGCGGAUCAGCAUGCCGCGGUGAAUACGUUCCCGGGCCUUGUACACACCGCCCGUCACACCAUGAGAGUUUGUAACACCCAAAGUCGGUGGGGUAACCUUUUAGGAACCAGCCGCCUAAGGUGGGACAGAUGAUUAGGGUGAAGUCGUAACAAGGUAGCCGUAGGAGAGCUUGG